rnacentral:lncRNA from 1 species
CUCACAUGUCACAAGGGCCCGAGCACAUACGCUUGACUGAGCUGUGGCUGAGCAUAUGAGGCUCAUGUGACAGGAGUUGCUGCAUGCAUCUGUUCCAAGUAAUGCUUGGGGAAGUUGUCAUCAAGACCCACCCGGUGGCAGAAAUUCAUGGGUGGGGACUACAUCGGGCCUUUCCAAAAACACAAAGACUUUUGUUGAGUGUUCUCAGAAUGAAGAGAAGAGAAAGACGACUUUCACAGGCUUGGACAGAGAAAGAGAUGAGAGAGGAGAAAUGUUGCAACAGUCCUCAAACACUUAGUACCUCAGUGCACUGUAGAAGACUUCUCACCACUACAGUCCAUACCAGGAGGCCUAGAGGUGAGGUGUCACAAAGGUCUCUGGGGGCGACGAGCAAUCCUCACAACGCAGCAGAACACACUCCCAUGACCUCAGGUCACUGGGCAUUAAAAAUCCAGAUGACUUCAUUUGCUGGUGGACAACAUCCUGAGCACAUGGAUUUGAAAGUCCAGGUACCCCCCCACCCCCACCCCAGACUGAUGCUCAGACACCACCUUCAGGCUGAACAGUUAUCAAACAUCCCUUCUCCUUCUGACUUUAGCCUUUGCUAGAAUAAGAGUACAAUGCUUCCCAGGUGGAGAUCCAGGUACCUCUCAUGUGCAGAUCCAGGCUAAACAAGCCUGAGUACUAACAAUGAAGAUAGGCAGAGAAGAAAAUGUUCGUGUUUUCUCCCUCCUGUUUUAAUUUGCCGGUUGCUAAAGGCAAGUUAAACUGUUCAUAUCCCUGUUUUUCCCAACUGGGGACUUUGGUUAAUGUCACUGAGGUGCCCUGAAGAUCAAUCCACUCACUGGAGGCCCAUGGAAACAUAAGGAAAAUACAGGACUGCCAGUAUCUAGAGAAGCAAACCUUGAGUUCUCAUAGGCUCUCCCCUGGGGCCAUAACACAGAGUUGCUCACAUUGUGUUCUACACAAAGUCUCCCAACCAAAGAGGAAAGGUGGGGCUGCCUUCAUCUGUACUCUCACUUGCCAAGCCUGAGUCCUACUAAGAUCUGUCCAUCCAGAUGGAGGGCACUCUCUAAUACACAGACAAGCAUACACACUGGUUGUCUGUAUUUUUCUACCAGAUGUGUAGUCUUUGAGGGAGGAUCAAGACUCACCUUUCCAUCUCUUAGGACAGUGCCUGUCACAGUGAAGUUUCAUAGAAUGAAUGAAUGAACAAUGACAGAAAGAAAUGAAGAGAUACUGAGAGGGUGCACAGGGAACAAUUCCAUUUUAUCCUAAAGGUAAAUCGGCUGAGUGGUAAGUGAGACUUAGGGAUUUAUUCACAUACUGCGGAGAAGGCAAGAUUGCCAAAGCCCUAUUUUGCUAAAAGGACUAUAUCGGGGGCCAAUGAAAAGAAAGAAAACGGACUAAUAGAAUUUAGGUGGACUUGAAACUAACGUAGAAAACAGCUGCCUGAUAUCAACCACAACUUUUCGCAUCUCUUUGGAUCUAUGGGAAGAUGAGGGAGACUUGGGAUUUUAGUUUGGUUGUAAGAGUCCACUGGAAGCAAUUUCUACAGUAGAAAACAUGUAGCAGAUGAGAAGAGUAUUCACAGCAGAACCCUUAAUUUCUUCAUGAAAAAAUGGAUAUGUAGUUUUCUUUCACUUAGAAGACUGUGUAGCAGAAGCAGCAGAAGACAGCUGGUUUCUACUCUCAGUCCCUGUUUCGGAUGCCCCAACACUCUGGCUAUAAGCUGCCAUAUGGUUGCUAGAAAUCAAACCUGGGUCUUCUGGAAGAGUAGACAGUACUCUUAAUUGUUGAGCCAUUUCUCCAGCCCUGCAUCUUUUAUUCUAAUGAGGUACAUCCUGAUGGUCACCUGGAUACUUUGCAAUGGGAGAUGGUCCAGCCAUGACUAGAAGCUUGGAACUUCCAGUAGAACCCCGAUUUCUGAAAAGAAACAGUCUGGACAGAGGUACUCUGCAUCAGUGCAUGGAGCUGCUCCCAAAAGACAUGAGUUAUUAAAUAAAACCUCAGUGCCAAGCAUAGAAUAUUACGCUAGAAGCUAUUGGUCCCGGAGGCCCCAAAACAACACAAGCUAUUGCCGUUGCUCUUGGGUGCCCACCUGAACCAGAUGGCAAGAUCAUAUUGCCGAAGACACCGCACAACACACUUGGUUUGCUGGACAUAGAGAAGUUAACCUUGCACUGACCAGGAAACUCUUCACCACCUGGCUAGCUUCCACGGAGAUUGAAAAUGCUAUAUCUGUGCUACUCUCAACCUUGGCCAGAGAAGCUUCUCUUUGCAAUGGUAGUGGUCAAUGAAGACAAUCAAGACUGGUCAAAGAGCUGAGGCGCAGACCUCAACGGAGACACAAGCUUGCCCAGCAAAGCAACAUCAGUGCUGCCCAUCAGCAGCAUCUCACAGGACUGCUUUCACUUCCGACAUUUAGCCUCUGGAGUCGAGACCUGUGGACUUACUCAUCAAGAUCUGUGUACCUUAGCUAUAAGGCGGUCGGGCGCACUUUGUCAGAAAGUGCUCAGGGAGCGGAUCUGUCUAUUGGCUGUGCUUAGGAAGCCACGCCCUCAAUCUAGGGAAAUGUAAGAUCCAGUUCCUUUCUAUGUAGCAAUUUUCUUUCUAGUGCCACUUUGGAAAAGAGUUUAUUUUUAUUAAGAAAGGCAACAUUUUUCCAGGGAUGGUCAUGUAAGCUUGGAAUCCCAAAGCUUAAGAGGCAGAAGUAAGAGGAUCAGGUUCAAGGUCACCUGGGCCACAAGAGACCCAAAACCAAACAAGAAAGCAAAACUGAAAUUAGAAUCCUCAUGAUAGUGACGGAUUAUAAUACACCACAUUGCCCUGACAUGUAUUACUCAAUGCGCCAGCCACCUUGUCUCUUUGCCUUGCCUAAUAAAGGAUCUCUUUGUGUGUGGUUUGUGCUUGGAAACUGGUAUUUGGGUGUGGUCUGUGCCUAAU